UGGCUCAGAACGAACGCUGGCGGCAGGCUUAACACAUGCAAGUCGAGCGGGCAUAGCAAUAUGUCAGCGGCAGACGGGUGAGUAACGCGUGGGAACGUACCUUUUGGUUCGGAACAACACAGGGAAACUUGUGCUAAUACCGGAUAAGCCCUUACGGGGAAAGAUUUAUCGCCGAAAGAUCGGCCCGCGUCUGAUUAGCUAGUUGGUGAGGUAAUGGCUCACCAAGGCGACGAUCAGUAGCUGGUCUGAGAGGAUGAUCAGCCACAUUGGGACUGAGACACGGCCCAAACUCCUACGGGAGGCAGCAGUGGGA
rnacentral:rRNA from 1 species